rnacentral:rRNA from 1 species
UACGUAGGGGGCGAGCGUUGUCCGGAAUUAUUGGGCGUAAAGGGCGUGUAGGCGGCCGAUCAAGUCAGGUGUGAAAUUCCAGGGCUCAACCCUGGACGUGCACUUGAAACUGGUUGGCUUGAGUGCAGAAGAGGAAAGUGGAAUUCCCAGUGUAGCGGUGAAAUGCGUAGAUAUCAGGAGGAACACCGGUGGCGAAGGCGGUUUUCUGGGCCGACACUGACGCUGAGGCACGAAAGCGUGGGGAGCAAACAGG